rnacentral:rRNA from 1 species
GACGAACGCUGGCGGCGUGCCUAAUACAUGCAAGUCGAACGCAGUGGGGACGGGUGAGUGAAACGUGGGUAACCUCCCAGCAAAGGGGAGAACGCUUGGAAACAGGUGCUAAACCGAUACUGAUGGAUGGACCCGCGGUGCAUUAGCUAGUUGGUGGGGUAAAGGCUCACCAAGGCAACGAUGCAUAGCGGGUUUGAGAGGGCGACCGGCCACACUGGGACUGAGACACGGCCCAGACUCCUACGGGAGGCAGCAGUAGGGAAUUUUGGGCAAUGGACGAAAGCCUGAUCGAGCAAUCCCGCGUGUGUGAAGAAGGUCUUCGGAUUGUAAAGCACUGUUGGCAGAGAAGCGGUAUCUAACCAGUAAGCAACGGCUAACUACGUGCCAGCAGCCGCGGUAAUAC